UGUUUCAUCCUCAGUUAUCAGAAAGUAAUUAAUUACAAGAUGUGAUAUGUUAGACAGAAAGUUUCAAUUGUGUGAAACACUAAUUUCAUUCGACGGCGGUAUCAUUCAACAUUGUUUCGAUACUUAAAACGUAUAAUUUAGUUCAAACAAUAAUUUACAUUUAAAACAAAAUAUUUCCAACAUUGACAAAUAAAUUUAAUGAAAGUAACAUUUAUCUUCCAUGUGUAUAUUUAUGUUCUUUGGAGAAAUAAUUCGUUGUAAGUACAAAGCAAAGCAAAUUGGAAAACAAUUACCUCUGACAUACUGUGAACGGUUCGAAAAGGAUCGAUUCAGCAGAUAUUGAAAUCACCGACAGAUUCCUAAUUGACAGUUUCGUAUGAUGCUGCAGUAUGCCGACCGACACGUAGUUACUGUUCUUAUCAAAACUAUACUCCAUAUAAAUUUUACAAUUUUGCAAUUAUUUAAACUUUUACAUUACUGAUCGUGCGAUCAAUUAUAUGACACAUUCUAUGAUGGAAGGGUUAAAAAAUGUUGAGAUUUAAGGAGAGGAAAAGGAAGGAAGUAACAGUAGGAAAACUAAGGGGAGAGGAGCAGUGCAAUAAAGGGCAGCAGCAUGAAUCCGAGUUUUGGAGGCAAAACGCGUGGCAAGGUAUACGCCAUACUCCUAAACGAUGCCCUGGAAUGGACCGGCUCGUAAACUCGGACCAAACUGAACAAAC